CUUUGGAAGGUUCUCCACAAUUUUAAUGAUCAAAAAACCCAACUUUUGGGUGUUCUCCUUGGUUUUUAUGACCAAAACCCAACUUUUGAGCGUUCAAAGACUUUAAACCCAACUUUGGAAGGUUCUUCAUGACCCUGAUGACCAAAACCCAAAUUCUGAGCGUUCUCCAUGGUUUUAAUGACCAAAAACCCAACUUUUGAGGGUUCAAUGACCUAAAAACCCAACUUUGGAAGGUUCUCCAUGACCCUGAUGACCAAAACCCAACUUUGGAAGGUUCUUGUUGACCUUGAUGACCAAAACCCAACUUUGGAAGGUUCUCCAUGACCCUGAUGACCAAAACCCAACUUCUGAGAGUUCUCCAUGAUUUUAAUGACCAAAAACCCAACUUUUGAGUGUUCAAUGACCUAAAAACCCAACUUUGGAGCG